rnacentral:lncRNA from 1 species
CUUCAUCAGCAAUUGAAGUGGUUGAUAUGUGGACUCUGCAGGUUAUAUAACCUUCCUAAGCACCUGGAUGUUGAGAUGCCAGAUCAACCACUACCCAUGGGUCAGCUAAAAAUGGGACAACAGAAGAAGUGACUUCAAAAGAAGACGAAGAGGAAGAGAUGGAUGAAGAUAUAGAAGACUUAGAUCACUAUGAGAUGAAAGAAGAGCCUAUUAGUGAGAAGAAGUUGGAGGAUGAAGGAACUGAAAAAGAAAAUUGGGCAAUAUUAGAGAAAAUUAGGAAGACUGAAAGGCAAGGCCAUUUAAAUGUUGCAAGCUUGCAAGCUUCAGAUAGACUUAUACAUAUACAGGGCUCAGGGACAUAUACAGAUCACAGAGUUAUAAGACAGGUAAGGAUCUCUAAAUCCCUUCUCUUAUUGUUCUUUUGUUCUUUUCUGUUGUCAGAUUAUAAAUGUCAUUUCUUAAAGCUGGACAGAAAUGGAAAUGUUGACCCUGAUAGUCCUUUGCACAGUGAUCUUUAGAUCUUAAAAAGAAGCGAUAGGAGACAUUUUGCUUAUCUUUCAAGGAUAACUUUCCAUUUGAGCCUCCAUUUGUUUGAGUGGUAUUACCUGUUCUCUCAGGAGCAUAAGUAUGUAUUGGGUGGAGGAGCAUUAUGUAUGGAACCUCUGGGCUGAAGCAGUGCCUACUCGAUAGAAUCAGUCAUCAUGCAAAUAAAAGCCACCUGAGUCAAAGGCAAAGCCAGAGUGCAGCUUGGAGCAAAG